GUUUCAAGAAUUAAUUGUUCUAUAUAUAUAUAUAUAUAAAGAAAAGAAAAAAAACAGUUGCAAUAUUGUAUUUAGCAGAAAUACGUGAAUUAAUGCCUCCAGGUAGGCCUACACAAGACUAUAGUCCUGGACAAUUUGAAAACCAUUUCAGUCAAAGAAGAAAAAACAGAUGAGAUGUGUGCUAAGCUAGACACCAUGAAGUGACUGUAAUGGCAGAGAUGAAGGCUGAGAGAGGGAGUUUUGUGAGCGACCUGCGCAUGCUGAUGGGAGCUUAAAAUGGCGCAGACGUGACUCUGGCGCCCAGGGGCUCGGAGCAGUCAGCACAGUCACAUCUUGGCAGGGAGGAGCCCCGUCUUCGACGCCAUGUUGUGUUUCUUGCAUGUCACUUCACAACAUAGCUGCGAACACGGGGCUUCUUGCUGGCAUGUCGCAGAUUGAGCAUGCAGCCACUUAGCAGAGAACGCACCAAUGGAGUAGGAUUUUCUGAUGACGAGCGGUGACGGCGUGCUGUAAAACGGCGGCUGCCGAAUAUUCGGAAUGCUCCUUUAACGCCCUUCAUCUGUUGUUGUCUGCUAUUACGGCCCGCUGGAACAGUAUGGCACGCUUCAGCAGAGGGAAAACAGCCCAGAACUCCAUCUGCGUUCUUCGCAUCACCGAACACAACAGCAUUCACUGCAUAUAUCUGGCGACGGAAGGAACGUCAUAUAUUUUGAAAUAUGUUCGUAUUUAUUUAAACCCGUAGUUUUAAGUGUCUGGUAUCCGAGAAAUUGUUGAAAUUUAUUUUGAUAUCAAAAUACGUACAUCUCUAUACAAUGCAGCAGAACUACGUAAAAAUUAAAUUUUGAACGGAAAUAUGUGAAGGACACGCUACACGAUGCGAGAUUCAGUGUAGCCAGUACAUGAAACAAUUCGCCUGCGAAAGAUCGAUCCGUUUUCAAUGUAAUUUAUAUACACUACUUAUCUACAAAAAAAAUUAAUCAGAUUAAAAUGUUAGCCCUGAAUACUGUCAAUCUUUAUCUUCAGACAUGCAGCCAGUCAUUGUACCGCAACUGUUUUUUGUAUGUAUAGUGCAAAUGAACAUAAAAUUGAACGUAUCUGAGUUUGUCAAAACAGCUUUUCUUUCUGGGAUAAUUUACCGAUUCAUUCUGGUGUGUGACAAAGGAUGCUUUGAGUACCACAACUGUUUCAGCCUUUUCCUGUUCCAGUCGCGAAUGUGUUUUAGUCCCAUCAAAAUGUUUGAAAUCAACUGAAAAACUUCACACCCACAAGAGUAAAGUUUUCAUAUAUUUUAGCUAAAAGUAUCAGUUCCCAUUACGACUAGCAGAAGUGCCGUUGCAUCUUUCAAAUACUGAUUAUGAAAUUGCACUGUCCUCCUUUUCCAAAAAUCUGUCUCACAACAGUAGGGGACGAGAUCCUUACGCGCACUAGGCUUACUGUAACUCGGCAACCAGUCGAGAACUGAGCUGAAGUUCUGCCGUUUGUAUUGAUAUGCGUCCCAGGUGUCAGUGAUUUCUGAACGGAGGAUUCUAGAAUAUUUAGUAAGUAAAAGGCGGUCUCAGGUUAGUCCUCACCGAUGAUGCGAAAAAUAUCUUUAGAUUACUCGUCGAUUAAGAGCUCUGUCUGGUUUUUCGUCCUUUGGCAACAGACUGACGUUUGGCAGUCAUUACUUCCAGAAUCCACGCAACUCGUGGCGCCUUUAUUACCACCGAUUUAGAGCUGUCGCGCAUGCAGCGCACUAUGGCUUCAAUUGUUCUCGCUAUGUCCACAUGGUAUUAGUUAACUGCAGGAGCGUCAAUGGAAAGAUGCCAGAACUAAUCUCGCUUAUAAGCGGUAACAAUGCCCACGUAGUACUAUGGACAGAAAGCUGGGUGAAACCUAAAGCCAGCAGCAGUGAGAUUCUAAAUUCCGGUCGCAGCAUAUGUUGUAAAGAGAGGUCAAUCGCUGGUGUUUAAAGCAAUGAAAAGUAAGAUCACAUUAGAGAAAUUAGUGCAGAUCCCGAAUGUAAAAUAAUUUGUGUCGAGACAAGCGUUAAAAGUGAAUCAAACAAUGUAAUGGAAUGCUUCUAUCUACCCCCCCCC